rnacentral:rRNA from 1 species
CCUUUAAAGAAAGCGUAAUAGCUCACUAGUCGAGUCGGCCUGCGCGGAAGAUGUAACGGGGCUCAAACCACACACCGAAGCUGCGGGUGUCACGUAAGUGACGCGGUAGAGGAGCGUUCUGUAAGCCUGUGAAGGUGAGUUGAGAAGCUUGCUGGAGGUAUCAGAAGUGCGAAUGCUGACAUGAGUAACGACAAUGGGUGUGAAAAACACCCACGCCGAAAGACCAAGGGUUCCUGCGCAACGUUAAUCGACGCAGGGUUAGUCGGUUCCUAAGGCGAGGCUGAAAAGCGUAGUCGAUGGGAAACAGGUUAAUAUUCCUGUACUUCUGGUUACUGCGAUGGAGGGACGGAGAAGGCUAGGCCAGCUUGGCGUUGGUUGUCCAAGUUUAAGGUGGUAGGCUGAAAUCUUAGGUAAAUCCGGGGUUUCAAGGCCGAGAGCUGAUGACGAGUCGUCUUUUAGAUGACGAAGUGGUUGAUGCCAUGCUUCCAAGAAAAGCUUCUAAGCUUCAGGUAACCAGGAACCGUACCCCAAACCGACACAGGUGGUCGGGUAGAGAAUACCAAGGCGCUUGAGAGAACUCGGGUGAAGGAACUAGGCAAAAUGGCACCGUAACUUCGGGAGAAGGUGCGCCGGCUAGGGUGAAGGAUUUACUCCGUAAGCUCUGGCUGGUCGAAGAUACCAGGCCGCUGCGACUGUUUAUUAAAAACACAGCACUCUGCAAACACGAAAGUGGACGUAUAGGGUGUGACGCCUGCCCGGUGCCGGAAGGUUAAUUGAUGGGGUUAGCGCAAGCGAAGCUCUUGAUCGAAGCCCCGGUAAACGGCGGCCGUAACUAUAACGGUCCUAAGGUAGCGAAAUUCCUUGUCGGGUAAGUUCCGACCUGCACGAAUGGCGUAACGAUGGCGGCGCUGUCUCCACCCGAGACUCAGUGAAAUUGAAAUCGCUGUGAAGAUGCAGUGUAUCCGCGGCUAGACGGAAAGACCCCGUGAACCUUUACUGUAGCUUUGCACUGGACUUUGAGCCUGCUUGUGUAGGAUAGGUGGGAGGCUUUGAAGCGUGGACGCCAGUUCGCGUGGAGCCAUCCUUGAAAUACCACCCUGGCAUGCUUGAGGUUCUAACUCUGGUCCGUGAUCCGGAUCGAGGACAGUGUAUGGUGGGCAGUUUGACUGGGGCGGUCUCCUCCUAAAGAGUAACGGAGGAGUACGAAGGUGCGCUCAGACCGGUCGGAAAUCGGUCGCAGAGUAUAAAGGCAAAAGCGCGCUUGACUGCGAGACAGACACGUCGAGCAGGUACGAAAGUAGGUCUUAGUGAUCCGGUGGUUCUGUAUGGAAGGGCCAUCGCUCAACGGAUAAAAGGUACUCCGGGGAUAACAGGCUGAUACCGCCCAAGAGUUCAUAUCGACGGCGGUGUUUGGCACCUCGAUGUCGGCUCAUCACAUCCUGGGGCUGAAGCCGGUCCCAAGGGUAUGGCUGUUCGCCAUUUAAAGUGGUACGCGAGCUGGGUUUAGAACGUCGUGAGACAGUUCGGUCCCUAUCUGCCGUGGACGUUUGAGAUUUGAGAGGGGCUGCUCCUAGUACGAGAGGACCGGAGUGGACGAACCUCUGGUGUUCCGGUUGUCACGCCAGUGGCAUUGCCGGGUAGCUAUGUUCGGAAAAGAUAACCGCUGAAAGCAUCUAAGCGGGAAACUUGCCUCAAGAUGAGAUCUCACUGGGAACUUGAUUCCCCUGAAGGGCCGUCGAAGACUACGACGUUGAUAGGCUGGGUGUGUAAGCGUUGU